CACGUAGGGCGCAAGCGUUGUCCGGAAUUAUUGGGCGUAAAGAGCUCGUAGGCGGACUGUCACGUCCGCUGUGAAAAGCUAGGGCUUAACCCUGGCCUUGCAGUGGAUACGGGCAGACUAGAGGUAGGUAGGGGAGAGUGGAAUUCCUGGUGUAGCGGUGAAAUGCGCAGAUAUCAGGAAGAACACCCGUGGCGAAGGCGGCUCUCUGGGACGGUACUGACGCUGAGACGCGAAAGCGUGGGGAGCGAACAGG
rnacentral:rRNA from 1 species